UUUCCUACGGGUGGCAGCAGUGGGGAAUAUUGGACAAUGGGCGAAAGCCUGAUCCAGCCAUGCCGCGUGAGUGAUGAAGGCCUUAGGGUUGUAAAGCUCUUUCAGUGGGGACGAUAAUGACGGUACCCACAGAAGAAGCCCCGGCUAACUUCGUGCCAGCAGCCGCGGUAAUACGAAGGGGGCUAGCGUUGUUCGGAUUUACUGGGCGUAAAGCGCACGUAGGCGGAUCGUUAAGUCAGGGGUGAAAUCCUGGAGCUCAACUCCAGAACUGCCUUUGAUACUGGCGAUCUAGAGUCCGGAAGAGGUGAGUGGAACUCCUAGUGUAGAGGUGGAAUUCGUAGAUAUUAGGAAGAACACCAGUGGCGAAGGCGGCUCACUGGUCCGGUACUGACGCUGAGGUGCGAAAGCGUGGGGAGCAAACAGGAUUAGAUACCCGAGUAGUCAG
rnacentral:rRNA from 1 species